rnacentral:rRNA from 1 species
GAUGAACGCUGGCGGCGUGCCUAAUACAUGCAAGUCGAGCGAACAGACGAGGAGCUUGCUCCUCUGACGUUAGCGGCGGACGGGUGAGUAACACGUGGAUAACCUACCUAUAAGACUGGGAUAACUUCGGGAAACCGGAGCUAAUACCGGAUAAUAUAUUGAACCGCAUGGUUCAAUAGUGAAAGACGGUUUUGCUGUCACUUAUAGAUGUAUCCGCCCCGCUUUAGCUAGUUGGUAAGUUAACGGCUUACCAAGGCAACGAUGCGUAGCCGACCUGAGAGGGUGCUCGGCCACACUGGAACUGAGACACGGUCCAGACUCCUACGGGAGGCAGCAGUAGGGAAUCUUCCGCAAUGGGCGAAAGCCUGACGGAGCAACGCCGCGUGAGUGAUGAAGGUCUUCGGAUCGUAAAACUCUGUUAUUAGGGAAGAACAAAUGUGUAAGUAACUAUGCACGUCUUGACGGUCCCUAAUCAGAAAGCCACGGCUAACUACGUG